rnacentral:misc_RNA from 1 species
GCCAUAUCUUGUAAUGGAAAAAUGAUCAGUAGGUUAAAUUUGACACAAUGAAUACUUAUGACCUGUAAAUUUGACCUAACCUUGAGCUUUGGUCAUUUGUGCAAGUUCAAGGUCACUGUAAGAAAAACAGUACAUCUGCUCUGCUAAUUUUUAAUACAGAAAUAACUGAGUUAUUAUCUUUUCUGUGCGUGUGUAUUGGGGGGGGGGGGGGUACAGUACCUGUAGUUUAGUUACUAAAUUUUAGUUGGGCCAAAAAGUAUGGAUGUUUUAAGGAGGAUCUAAUGGUUAAUUGGUUGACCACCAAGCUUCCUUAAACAGGUUUAUAUAUUUCACUUGUAGGCAAAGUCACCUUUGAAUUGCCAGAAGUUGUUUAAAAUUAAGAAUUUUAUGCACUUUUGGUCUAUUUUUGCACAUUUGCCCACAUUGGAAAUGAAAAUGAAUUAAAUUGUUUGAAUUGAAUUUAAAUAUAUUCUGUAAUUUUUUAAAAUGUCAAUUUCUUUAGGGCGAACUACGUGUACAUGUAUAUUCGUUUUAUGGUAUUUUAAAUAUUUAAAGAGACAAGGCAUAAAUGUGGAGGUACAAUGGAUUUGAUCUCUUAAUACAUGUAGAAUAGAUGGAACAGCUGUGUUACCAUUUCAGACAUUGAGGGAAAACAGCUUAAACCACCUGACUUCAGUUAUUAUACAAAGAUCUUUUAAAUCGCAAGUUAUUUUGAGUAAAUUGCAUGAUGCCAAACGUCAUGAUAUGUCAAAAUAAAAGGUGUUAAGGGAUGAUGGGAGAAAUUACACCAAGCUCUUAGAAUUGUUUGAAUGGUUCAUGUGAAUACAUGGGAUGAAUUGUCUGGUGCAUGAGUGUAUGUUUUGUUUGAUUUUUUGUGUACAUGUAACUUUGUCCUUUGUAAUGUAAAUGUAUGUUUCUCUGAUUAAAGAUAUAAAACU